rnacentral:rRNA from 1 species
CCUACGGGAGGCUGCAGUCGAGAAUCAUUCACAAUGGGGGAAACCCUGAUGGUGCGACGCCGCGUGGGGGAAUGAAGGUCUUCGGAUUGUAAACCCCUGUCAUGUGGGAGCAAAUUAAAAAGAUAGUACCACAAGAGGAAGAGACGGCUAACUCUGUGCCAGCAGCCGCGGUAAUACAGAGGUCUCAAGCGUUGUUCGGAAUCACUGGGCGUAAAGCGUGCGUAGGCUGUUUCGUAAGUCGUGUGUGAAAGGCGGGGGCUCAACCGGCGGACGGCAGAUGAUACUGCGAGACUAGAGUAAAGGAGAGGGAGGCGGAAUUCGCGGUGUAGCAGUGAAAUGCGUAGAUAUCGAGAAGAACACUCGUGGCGAAGGCAGGUUCCUGGACAUUAACUGACGCUGAGGCACGAAGGCCAGGGGAGCGAAAGGGAUUAGAUACCCCUGUAGUC